rfam:Charadrius vociferus contig9792, whole genome shotgun sequence.
CAAAAGGUGCUUCUUAGCACCUUUAAAAAUAUCCAAACAAUGGAUUU